CCUCACUCACUGGGGACACAGCAGUCACGGGCUCUGCCUUUAAGAGUGCAUACCCACUGCCAGCAGCAGCGACUCACACUGGGUGAAGUAGCUCCCAGAGCGGUCCCUGCAUGGUAUCAGCGAUGCUUCUUCACCCCAUUUCUGAGGCCGGGUGCGUUCCCGCCAGCCCCAGUCCUCAGGCAUUUCUCUGAGUCUCCGCCCCCCCCCCCCCCCCCCCGUCUGGGUCCCCAUGGCGGGCACUGCGGCAGCAGGUGGGCAGCCUCCCCGGGUUAGCAUGCAGGAGCACAUGGCCAUCGAUGUGAGCCCGGGCCCCAUCCGGCCCAUCCGCCUCAUCUCCCACUACUUCCCGCACUUUUACCCUUUUUUUACCCUUUUGCGGAGCCUGCCCUGCACCCUCCGGACCUGCGCCCCGCAGCGGCGUCCACCAUCCACUCUGCACCCUAGCUGCAGC
rnacentral:lncRNA from 1 species